rnacentral:rRNA from 1 species
CAGCCGCCACGGGAAUACGUAGGUGGCAAGCGUUGUCCGGAAUUAUUGGGCGUAAAGGGCUCGCAGGCGGUUUCUUAAGUCUGAUGUGAAAGCCCCCGGCUCAACCGGGGAGGGUCAUUGGGGACUGGGAAACUUGAGUGCAGAAGAGGAGAGUGGAAUUCCACGUGUAGCGGUGAAAUGCGUAGAGAUGUGGAGGAACACCAGUGGCGAAGGCGACUCUCUGGUCUGUAACUGACGCUGAGGAGCGAAAGCGUGGGGAGCGAACAGGAUUAGAUACCCCUGUAGUCCCUGUCUCUUAUAC